CCCUUAGAUGUUCUGGGCCGCACGCGUGCUACACUGAGUGGAUCAGCGGGUCAGGUUGCGCGAAAGCGUUUCCUAAUCUUUAAAUCCGCUCGUGAUGGGGAUUGACGGUUGCAAUUUUCUGUCAUGAACGAGGAAUACCUUGUAAGCGCGGGUCAUCAUCCCGCGCUGAAUACGUCCCUGCCCUUUGUACACACCGCCCUUCGCUCCUACCGAUUGAGUGGUCCGGUGAGGCUUUGGGAUCUGAGCGGAAAGAGCGUUUCGCUGUUUCUGCUCGGAAAACUCAGUCGAACCUUAUCAUUUAGAGGAAGGAGAAGUCGUAACA
rnacentral:rRNA from 1 species